rnacentral:rRNA from 1 species
GACGAACGCUGGCGGCGUGCUUAACACAUGCAAGUCGAGCGGUAAGGCCCCUUCGGGGGUACACGAGCGGCGAACGGGUGAGUAACACGUGAGCAACCUGCCCUUCACAUCGGGAUAACCCCGGGAAACCGGGGCUAAUACCGGAUACGACCACCGACGGCAUCGUCUGGUGGUGGGAAAGUUCCGGCGGUGGAGGAUGGGCUCGCGGCCUAUCAGCUUGUUGGUGGGGUAACGGCCCACCAAGGCGACGACGGGUAGCCGGCCUGAGAGGGUGACCGGCCACACUGGGACUGAGACACGGCCCAGACUCCUACGGGAGGCAGCAGUGGGGAAUAUUGGACAAUGGGCGAAAGCCUGAUCCAGCAACGCCGCGUGAGGGAUGACGGCC